CUUGCUUCUCUGGAUGAGUUGCGAACGGGUGAGUAACGCGUAGGUAACCUGCCUGGUAGCGGGGGAUAACUAUUGGAAACGAUAGCUAAUACCGCAUAAAAUUGAUUAUUGCAUGAUAGUCAAUUAAAAGGUGCAAUUGCAUCACUACCAGAUGGACCUGCGUUGUAUUAGCUAGUUGGUGGGGUAACGGCUCACCAAGGCAACGAUACAUAGCCGACCUGAGAGGGUGAUCGGCCACACUGGGACUGAGACACGGCCCAGACUCCUACGGGAGGCAGCAGUAGGGAAUCUUCGGCAAUGGACGGAAGUCUGACCGAGCAACGCCGCGUGAGUGAAGAAGGUUUUCGGAUCGUAAAGCUCUGUUGUAAGAGAAGAACGAGUGUGAGAGUGGAAAGUUCACACUGUGACGGUAUCUUACCAGAAAGGGACGGCUAACUACGUGC
rnacentral:rRNA from 1 species